rnacentral:rRNA from 1 species
UACGUAGGGGGCAAGCGUUGUCCGGAAUCAUUGGGCGUAAAGCGCGCGUAGGCGGCCCUGUAAGUCCGCUGUAAAAGUCAAAGGCUCAACCUUUGAAAGCCGGUGGAUACUGCAGGGCUAGAGUCCGGAAGAGGCGAGUGGAAUUCCUGGUGUAGCGGUGGAAUGCGUAGAGAUGCGGAGGAACACCGAUGGCGAAGGCAGCCCCCUGGGCCGACACUGACGCUCAGGCACGAAAGCGUGGGGAGCAAACAGG